rnacentral:rRNA from 1 species
UACGAAGGGGGCUAGCGUUGCUCGGAAUCACUGGGCGUAAAGCGCACGUAGGCGGCUAUUAUAGUCAGGGGUGAAAUCCUGGAGCUCAACUCCAGAACUGCCUUUGAUACUGGCGAUCUCGGGUCCGGGAGAGGUGAGUGGAAACUGCGAGUGUAGAGGUGAAAUUCGUAGAUAUUCGCAAGAACACCAGUGGCGAAGGCGGCUCACUGGCCCGGUACUGACGCUGAGGUGCGAAAGCGUGGGGAGCAAACAGGAUUAGAACCC